rfam:Asian citrus Psyllid, Diaphorina citri - Florida Strain, whole genome shotgun sequence.
GCCAGCGGUGAUAGCACGUGGAACGCAUCAGUUCCCCAUGGAUCACUGAAGUUAAUCAACGUUGCGCGUGUUUUGAUAUCCGGAUGGGUGAGUGGGUGACCAUCCAGGCAAUCGCGUGCUGCGGACU